rnacentral:rRNA from 1 species
UGAACGCUGGCGGCAGCCUAACACAUGCAAGUCGAGCGGUAGCACAGAGAGCUUGCUCUCGGGUGACGAGCGGCGGACGGGUGAGUAAUGUCUGGGAAACUGCCUGAUGGAGGGGGAUAACUACUGGAAACGGUAGCUAAUACCGCAUAACGUCGCAAGACCAAAGUGGGGGACCUUCGGGCCUCAUGCCAUCAGAUGUGCCCAGAUGGGAUUAGCUAGUAGGUGGGGUAACGGCUCACCUAGGCGACGAUCCCUAGCUGGUCUGAGAGGAUGACCAGCCACACUGGAACUGAGACACGGUCCAGACUCCUACGGGAGGCAGCAGUGGGGAAUAUUGCACAAUGGGCGCAAGCCUGAUGCAGCCAUGCCGCGUGUGUGAAGAAGGCCUUCGGGUUGUAAAGCACUUUCAGCGGGGAGGAAGGCGGUGAGGUUAAUAACCUCAUCGAUUGACGUUACCCGCAGACAGAAGCACCGG